UACGAAGGGGGCUAGCGUUGCUCGGAAUCACUGGGCGUAAAGGGUGCGUAGGCGGGUCUUUAAGUCAGGGGUGAAAUCCUGGAGCUCAACUCCAGAACUGCCUUUGAUACUGAAGAUCUUGAGUUCGGGAGAGGUGAGUGGAACUGCGAGUGUAGAGGUGAAAUUCGUAGAUAUUCGCAAGAACACCAGUGGCGAAGGCGGCUAUCUGGACGGUUUCUGACACUAAGACUCGAAAGCGUGGGGAGCAAACAGG
rnacentral:rRNA from 1 species